UCCCUACGGGGCGCAGCAGUGGGGAAUAUUGCACAAUGGGGGAAACCCUGAUGCAGCGACGCCGCGUGAGUGAAGAAGUAAUUCGUUACGUAAAGCUCUAUCAGCAGGGAAGAAAAUGACGGCACCUGAGUAAGAAGCCCCGGCUAACUACGUGCCAGCAGCCGCGGUAAUACGUAGGGGGCAAGCGUUAUCCGGAUUUACUGGGUGUAAAGGGAGCGUAGGUGGCAUGGCAAGCCAGAAGUGAAAACCCGGGGCUUAACCCCGCGGAUUGCUUUUGGAACUGUCAGGCUGGAGUGCAGGAGGGG
rnacentral:rRNA from 1 species